GACGUAGGGGGCAAGCGUUGUUCGGAAUUAUUGGGCGUAAAGCGCUCGUAGGCGGGACUGGAAGUCCGUGUUGAAAGACCUCGGCUCAACUGAGGGACCGGCUCGGAUACUCUAGUUCUUGAGGCAAUCAGAGGGUGAUGGAAUUCCCGGUGUAGUGGUGGAAUGCGUAGAUAUCGGGAGGAACACCAGUGGCGAAGGCACUUUACUGGGCUAUUACUAACACUCAGAGACGAAAGCUAGGGUAGCAAAUGGGAUUAAGAAAC
rnacentral:rRNA from 1 species